CUACGGGGGGCUGCAGUCAAGAAUCUUCCUCAAUGGGCGAAAGCCUGAAGGAGCGACACCGCGUGCAUGAAGAAGCCUUUCGGGGUGUAAAGUGCUUUUAUAUGUGACGAAACAAUGACGGUAGCAUAUGAAUAAGGGGCUGCUAACCUCGUGCCAGCAGCAGCGGUAAUACGAGGGCCCCAAGCGUUAUCCGGAUUUAUUGGGCGUAAAGCGUCCGUAGGCGGUUUAUCGCAUCUCCUGUUAAAUCUCGAGGCUCAACCUCGAGCCAGCGGGAGAGAUGGACAAACUAGAGAUCGGAAGAGGCAAACGGAAUUGCUGGUGUAGGGGUUAACUCCAUUAAUAUCAGCAAGAACACCAAAUGCGAAGGCAGUUUGCUAGGACGAAUCUGACACUCAGUGGACGAAAGCGUGGGGAGCGAAUGGGAUUAGAUACCCUGGUAGUC
rnacentral:rRNA from 1 species